ensembl:lncRNA
UAUAUUUGGGGUAGAUGUGUUUUUCUCCAGCAAAAAGUGGUAUUUUCGGGUAGAAAAUGUGUGAUGUUUGGACAGAGGUGCUAUUUUUCGAGGGGGAAAGGCGUGAUUUUCAAACAAAAACUUGUAGUUUCGGGGUGACAAUGCAUGGUUUUCGUUAGCAAAGUCGUAUUUUCCUAAAGAAAAUGCGUGAUUUUCUUGUGAAAGGUGGUAUUUUCGGGGUGAAAAUGCAUGAUUUUCGGGGGAAACGUGGUAUAUUUCGGGUAGAAAUGCGUUAUUACCCAGCGACAAGUGGUGUUUUCGUGCAGAAAAUGCGUGAUUUUCGUGAGAAAAGUGGUAUUUCUCGAGAGAAAAUGCGUGAUUUUGGGGUGAAAGGUGGUAUAUUUGGGGGAGAAAUGUGUUAUUUCCCAGCAAAAAGUGGUAUUUUCGGGAAGGAAGUGCAGAAUUUUUGGGAGACAGGUGGUAUUUUCGGGGUGAAAAUGCAUGAUUUUCGAGAGAAAAGUGGUAUUUCUCGAGAGAAAAUGCGUGAUUUUGGGGUGAAAGGUGGUAUAUUUGGGGUAGAUGUGUUUUUCUCCAGCAAAAAGUGGUAUUUUCGGGUAGAAAAUGUGUGAUGUUUGGACAGAGGUGCUAUUUUUCGAGGGGGAAAGGCGUGAUUUUCAAACAAAAACUUGUAGUUUCGGAGUGACAAUGCAUGGUUUUCGUUAGCAAAGUCGUAUUUUCCUAAAGAAAAUGCGUGAUUUUCUUGUGAAAGGUGGUAUUUUCGGGAAGAAACUGCAUGAUUUUCGGGGGAAAAGUGGUAUAUUUGGGGUAGAAAUGCGUUAUUACCCAGCGACAAGUGGUGUUUUAGCGCAGAAAAUGCGUGAUUUUCGUGAGAAAAGUGGUAUUUCUUGAGAGAAAAUGCGUGAUUUUGAGGUGAAGGUGGUAUAUUUGGGGGAGAAAUGUGUUAUUUCCCAGCGACAAGUGGUAUUUUCGGGUAGAUAAUGCGUGAUGUUUGGACAGAGGUGCUAUUUUUCGAGGGGGAAACUGCGUGAUUUUCAGGCGAAAACUUGUAUUUUCGGAGUGACAAAGCAUGGUUUUUGUUAGAAAAGUCAUAUUUUCCUAAAGAAAAUGCGUGAUUUUUG